rnacentral:rRNA from 1 species
UACGUAGGGUGCAAGCGUUGUCCGGAAUUAUUGGGCGUAAAGAGCUCGUAGGCGGUCUGUCGCGUCUGCUGUGAAAACUCAGGGCUUAACCCUGAGCUUGCAGUGGGUAGGACGGAGACUGAGUAGUGCGAGGGGAGACUGGAAUUCCUGGUGUAGCGGUGAAAUGCGCAGAUAUCAGGAGGAACACCGGUAGCGGAAGGCGGGUCUCUGGGCAGUAACUGACGCUGAGGACGAAAGCGUGGGGAGCAAACAGG